rnacentral:rRNA from 1 species
AACGCGAAGAACCUUACCAAGGUUUGACAUGGCCGGAAAACUCGCAGAGAUGCGGGGUCCUUCGGGGCCGGUCACAGGUGGUGCAUGGCUGUCGUCAGCUCGUGUCGUGAGAUGUUGGGUUAAGUCCCGCAACGAGCGCAACCCUCGUCCUAUGUUGCCAGCGGGUUAUGCCGGGGACUCAUGGGAGACUGCCGGGGUCAACUCGGAGGAAGGUGGGGAUGACGUCAAGUCAUCAUGCCCCUUAUGUCUUGGGCUGCAAACAUGCUACAAUGGCCGGUACAAAGCGCUGCGACAUCGUGAGAUGAAGCGAAUCGCAUAAAAGCCGGUCUCAGUUCGGAUCGGGGUCUGCAACCCGGCCCCGUGAAGCCGGAGUCGCUAGUAAUCGCGGAUCAGCAACGCCGCGGUGAAUACGUUCCCGGGCCUUGUA